GAUGAACGCUGGCGGCGUGCCUAAUACAUGCAAGUCGAGCGAACGGACGAGAAGCUUGCUUCUCUGAUGUUAGCGGCGGACGGGUGAGUAACACGUGGAUAACCUACCUAUAAGACUGGGAUAACUUCGGGAAACCGGAGCUAAUACCGGAUAAUAUUUUGAACCGCUUUGUUCAAAAGUUAAAUACGUUCUUUCUGUCACUUCUAGAUGGUUCCUCGCUGCAUUAGCUAGUUGGUAAGGUAACGGCUUACCAAGGCAACGAUGCAUAGCCGACCUGAUAGGGGGAUCGGCAACACUGGAACUGAGACACGGACAAGACUCCUACGGGAGGCAGCAGUAGGGAAUCUUACGCAAUGGGCGAAAGCAUGACGGAGCAACGCCGCGUGAGUGAUGAAGGUCUUCGGAUCGUAAAACUCUGUUAUUAGGGAAGAAAAUAUGUGUAAGUAACUGUGCACAUCGUGACGGUACCUAAUCAGAAAGCAACGGCUAACUACGUG
rnacentral:rRNA from 1 species